rnacentral:rRNA from 1 species
UGGGGAAUAUUGCACAAUGGGCGCAAGCCUGAUGCAGCCAUGCCGCGGGUAUGAAGAAGGCCUUCGGGUUGUAAAGUACUUUCAGCGGGGAGAAAGGGAGUAAAGUUAAUACCUUUACUCAUUGACGUUACCCGCAGAAGAAGCACCGGCUAACUCCGUGCCAGCAGCCGCGGUAAUACGGAGGGUGCAAGCGUUAAUCGGAAUUACUGGGCGUAAAGCGCACGCAGGCGGUUGGUUAAGUCAGAUGUGAAGUCCCCGGGCUCAACCUGGGAACUGCAUCUGAUACUGGCAAGCUUGAGUCUCGUAGAGGGGGGUAGAAUUCCAGGUGUAGCGGUGAAAUGCGUAGAGAUCUGGAGGAAUACCGGUGGCGAAGGCGGCCCCCUGGACGAAGACUGACGCUCAGGUGGGAAAGAGUGGGGAGCAAACAGG